AAACGCAACAGGCUUACUCCCACCCACCACCAAGCAACAAACACAAUCUACAAUCUCAUCCAGUGCUGUUGCAGAAAAUAACGCAGGUUCACCCUCACUCACCACUCAACACCAUCCUACAAUCUCAUCCAAAGCCGAUGCAGGCAAUACUACAACAGGCUCACCCCAACCCACCACGCAACAACACCUUCCUAC